rnacentral:rRNA from 1 species
UACGUAGGUGGCAAGCGUUGUCCGGAUUUAUUGGGUUUAAAGGGUGCGUAGGCGGCCCUGUAAGUCAGUGCUGAAAUAUCCCGGCUUAACCGGGAGGGUGGCAUUGAUACUGCGGGGCUAGAGUACAGAUGAGGUAGGCGGAAUUGACGGGUGUAGCGGUAGAAAUGCUUAGAUAUCGUCAAGAACACCUAUAGCGAAGGCAGCUUACUAGGCUGUAACUGACGCUGAGGCACGAAAGUGUGGGGAUCAAACAGG